rnacentral:tRNA from 1 species
GGGAAUGUGGCUUAGUGGUAGAGUGCUUGCCUAGCAUGCAUGAAGCCCUAGGUUUGAUUCCUCAGUAUCA